rnacentral:lncRNA from 7 species
AAAGACAACAGCCUGAGAACACUGAGAGCCACACAGCCACAAGGAAGGCCAAGCAGCAGGCCAGCUUAAAGCCCAAGGAGCAGACAGAGUGCUAUUGGGACACAAGGAUUGCCCUGGAGAAGCACACAGCUCCACCAGUGGGUCACCCAGUGUGCCUCCACCAGAAGCACCUCGCUGUGCCUGGGCUGCCCAGCCCACGUCCCACUGGAGGAAGGUCAUCACCCAUCGUGGAGUUCUGCACAAAAGCCAUGGCUAAAACCAGGAUGGCACCACUCUGGGAGCAGUGACAGCUCAUGAUAAACCAGUCUAUAUUUUACUAUUCAGAGCGGCCAAGUAAGCCUUCUAUGACCACACUCCUUGAAGGACAUGGAGUGACCCAAAUACCAUAUCUGUUUUUCCCUGUGAUUUUUUUCUUCUCUUUUCUUCAACGCAGAAGAUGCUACUGGAAGAAAAAUUGCAUCAUACCAUCUUUGUCAGGGUCCCUAAUUGAGAAUGACCCAACUAUUUAAAGAUCAGUUUGGUAGAGCGGGUCUUGUGGUAUUUAGUAAGGAAAGACAAAGCAGCAGCUAUGACUUUAAUCACUGGGUUCAGAGUAAGGAAGUGGAUGGUCCUGUAUUAUCUCUGGGUGCCAGUUCUCAUCCAGCAUAGCUGAAGAUCUUGCUGGCAACAGUAUUUGAUGCUCCAAAUGCAGCUGCCAAGAAAUUGAAGUUUCCAUUUGGAGAAUUUCAGACAGAGAGAAGACAAGAAAAGAAGCGCAGCCUGGGACGAGGCUGGAAGGAAGCCAGGAUCUUUUUCCCCCCCACUAAAAACUCAAUAGUCCUGCAUUCGAAUGUCUGUAAAACUGACAUAUUCGUGGAGUUUUCAAAUGAGUAUUUUCUGACAAGUCCCCUGCCACCCCCAGGCCUCCCUCCUGCAACAGCCCAGAGCCGUCAGCCCCCUCCCAGACAGCUGGAGCCUCUUUGAUAUUCUGGGCAGUUGGGACCCUCCCUGAAGCUAUACAUAUAUAUAUAUAUAUGCACAGUUAUAUGUACAUUUUAAAGUUCUGCACAUGGCUACACAUCUCAUCUAGAUGGAUAUAUGCAUAUUUAUUCCUCUGUGAAUUACUGUAGCCAGCCAACUCCGGCUGAUAAACCUUCUCAUAAAACAUACCCUGUAUGAUAAAUAAAAACAAAGACUGCUCUCUUUGUGCUAAUGAAU